UACAGAGGUCUCAAGCGUUGUUCGGAUUCAUUGGGCGUAAAGGGUGCGUAGGCGGCGCGGUAAGUCGGGUGUGAAAUCUUGGAGCUUAACUCCGAAACUGCAUUCGAUACUGCCGUGCUUGAGGACUGGAGAGGAGACUGGAAUUUACGGUGUAGCGGUGAAAUGCGUAGAUAUCAAGAGGAACACCUGCGGCGAAGGCGGGUUGCUGGGCCGACACUGACGCUGAGGCGCGAAAGCCAGGGGAGCAAACGGG
rnacentral:rRNA from 1 species